ACUGUGCUCACUUUGGCAGUAUGUACUAACAUCGGAACCACACAGAAAAGAUUACUAUGGCCCCUGCACAAGGAUGAUACACAAAUUCAUGAAGCGUUUCAUAUUUGA
rnacentral:snRNA from 1 species